CAAUCAACUGCGUGUAUCCUUCUUCAAAGGUGUCCGAGAAAAGCCGCGUCUGGAGUGGAUUCCCUGCUGUGCUCUGGAGGAAGCCCUCCCUUUCGUCGGCCUGUACCACCAGGAAACAGUGGCAUGGAACGAGUGCUGCUGGGUCUCCCCAUUUCUUCGAAGACGAGGAGCGUAGGGGCAGGGUCGAGGAGCUCCAUCCAGCUCAGCGGCGAGGAGGGAGGGGGAGACGGAAUAAAUUUGGGCAGUUUGCGCCCCCUCUUCU